GAGCGCGUCUAGUAUAGCGAGUAGAAAAGCGACUUUAUGUGUUGUGGGGCACGAGCGUGGCUUGCAAGCUCGGACGCUAAGGAGCAUUUCCUCAAUGGUUUCUUGGAUUAACUUUCGCUUCCUAAUAGAAUAAGCCCAUUCCUGAAUCCUGCAGAAUGACUUGGGGAGGGAUCUAUCACAACAGGAUUCUUGCCUGCUUCCUUCACAUACCACCCCCACUUGCCAAGUAUUAUAAAGCUUAGAAAAGCAAUUGACCAUAAUUUCUAAUCAUAAGUUCCUGGAACACCUACUACUAAUUCAUCCAAAGCAAGAAACAUGUACAGAACAGUGAUAUUCCUUCACAACCAAAAAGAUUUUUCAGAUCCUCAUGGUUUUUCUUGUUCUAACAAAGCUAAGCCAACUUGAAAGGUGAAAUCACUGCCCUCCCCACUACGUGGGAUCAGACACCCAGGGG